AGUCGAGGGGCAGCAUCAUCAAAGCUUGCUUUGAUGGAUGGCGACCGGCGCACGGGUGAGUAACACGUAUCCAACCUGCCGACAACACUGGGAUAGCCUUUCGAAAGAAAGAUUAAUACCGGAUGGUAUAGUUUUCCCGCAUGGGAUGAUUAUUAAAGAAUUUCGGUUGUCGAUGGGGAUGCGUUCCAUUAGGCAGUUGGCGGGGUAACGGCCCACCAAACCUACGAUGGAUAGAGGUUCUGAGAGGAAGGUCCCCCACAUUGGAACUGAGACACGGUCCAAACUCCUACGGGAGGCAGCAGUGAGGAAUAUUGGUCAAUGGACGAGAGUCUGAACCAGCCAAGUAGCGUGAAGGAUGACUGCCCUAUGGGUUGUAAACUUCUUUUAUACGGGAAUAAAGUGAGCCACGUGUGGCUUUUUGUAUGUACCGUAUGAAUAAGGAUCGGCUAACUCCGUGCCAGCAGCCGCGGUAAUACGGAGGAUCCGAGCGUUAUCCGGAUUUAUUGGGUUUAAAGGGAGCGUAGGCGGGUUGUUAAGUCAGUUGUGAAAGUUUGCGGCUCAACCGUAAAAUUGCAGUUGAUACUGGCGACCUUGAGUGCAACAGAGGUAGGCGGAAUUCGUGGUGUAGCGGUGAAAUGCUUAGAUAUCACGAAGAACUCCGAUUGCGAAGGCAGCUUACUGGAUUGUAACUGACGCUGAUGCUCGAAAGUGUGGGUAUCAAACAGGAUUAGAUACCCUGGUAGUCCACACAGUAAACGAUGAAUACUCGCUGUUGGCGAUAUACAGUCAGCGGCCAAGCGAAAG
rnacentral:rRNA from 1 species